rnacentral:lncRNA from 1 species
AUAACUCUAUGACUCAAGCAUUUAUUAAAGACUCAUAAGAGUCAACAUAGUAUGAUAUUACGAACAGGGGUCUCGUGACCCGACACUCAAGUCAUACAAACAACAAGCGGAAGCAAAUCAUGUCUGGUACAGACAUCUACUAAAAGUGGCUGGAAGAGCCUGAAAAGCUACUACGACCCUACCAAAGGAGCCAGACCUCUGUCUGGGAUUUCCAAGCUAUUCCGGUCAACAUCAAACACAUCGCGUAGAACCUUUAAUGAGUCUAAGUCUUCU